CCCCCACAUUGGAACUGAGACACGGUCCAAACUCCUACGGGAGGCAGCAGUGAGGAAUAUUGGUCAAUGGACGAGAGUCUGAACCAGCCAAGUAGCGUGAAGGAUGACUGCCCUAUGGGUUGUAAACUUCUUUUAUAUGGGAAUAAAACGUUCCACGUGUGGGAUUUUGUAUGUACCAUAUGAAUAAGGAUCGGCUAACUCCGUGCCAGCAGCCGCGGUAAUACGGAGGAUCCGAGCGUUAUCCGGAUUUAUUGGGUUUAAAGGGAGCGUAGGUGGAUUGUUAAGUCAGUUGUGAAAGUUUGCGGCUCAACCGUAAAAUUGCAGUUGAAACUGGCAGUCUUGAGUACAGUAGAGGUGGGCGGAAUUCGUGGUGUAGCGGUGAAAUGCUUAGAUAUCACGAAGAACUCCGAUUGCGAAGGCAGCUCACUGGACUGCAACUGACACUGAGGCUCGAAAGUGUGGG
rnacentral:rRNA from 1 species